AUUGAACGCUGGCGGCAGGCCUAACACAUGCAAGUCGAGCGGAUGAAGGGAGCUUGCUCCUGGAUUCAGCGGCGGACGGGUGAGUAAUGCCUAGGAAUCUGCCUGGUAGUGGGGGAUAACGUCCGGAAACGGGCGCUAAUACCGUAUACGUCCUGAGGGAGAAAGUGGGGGAUCUUCGGACCUCACGCUAUCAGAUGAGCCUAGGUCGGAUUAGCUAGUUGGUGGGGUAAAGGCCUACCAAGGCGACGAUCCGUAACUGGUCUGAGAGGAUGAUCAGUCACCCUGGAACUGAGACACGGUCCAGAAUCCUAAGGGAGGCAGCAGUGGGGAAUAUUGGACAAUGGGCGGAAGCCUGAUCCAGCCAUGCCGCGUGUGUGAAGAAGGUCUUCGGAUUGUAAAGCACUUUAAGUUGGGAGGAAGGGCAGUAAGUUAAUACCUUGCUGUUUUGACGUUACCAACAGAAUAAGCACCGGCUAACUUCGUG
rnacentral:rRNA from 1 species